AGAGUUUGAUCCUGGCUCAGGAUAAACGCUGGCGGCGCACAUAAGACAUGCAAGUCGAACGGAAGUCGUUAUAAAAGGAGAGAAGAUUUGUCGGAUUGAAUUUUAUAACAAUGGCUUUAGUGGCGGACUGGUGAGUAACGCGUAAGGAACCUACCUAUUAGAGGGGAACAACAAUGAGAAAUCAUUGCUAAUACCGCAUAUGCCAUAACUACCACAUGGUAGAAGUGGGAAAGGAGUAAUCCGCUGAUAGAUGGCCUUGCGUCUGAUUAGUUAGUUGGUGGGGUAACGGCCUACCAAGACGACGAUCAGUAGCCGGACUGAGAGGUUGAACGGCCACAUUGGGACUGAGAUACGGCCCAGACUCCUACGGGAGGCAGCAGUCGGGAAUAUUGCGCAAUGGAGGAAACUCUGACGCAGUGACGCCGCGUGCAGGAAGAAGGUUUUCGGAUUGUAAACUGCUUUAGACAGGGAAGAGAAAGGACAGUACCUGUAGAAUAAGCUCCGGCUAACUACGUGCCAGCAGCCGCGGUAAUACGUAGGGAGCGAGCGUUAUCCGGAUUUAUUGGGUGUAAAGGGUGCGUAGACGGGAAUACAAGUUAGUUGUGAAAUACCUCGGCUUAACUGAGGAACUGCAACUAAAACUAUAUUUCUUGAGUACAGGAGAGGUAAGUGGAAUUCCUAGUGUAGCGGUGAAAUGCGUAGAUAUUAGGAGGAACACCAGUGGCGAAGGCGACUUACUGGACUGAAACUGACGUUGAGGCACGAAAGUGUGGGGAGCAAACAGGAUUAGAUACCCUGGUAGUCCACACCGUAAACGAUGGAUACUAGGUGUAGGAGAUAUUAAGUCUUCUGUGCCGUCGCAAACGCAGUAAGUAUCCCACCUGGGGAGUACGGCCGCAAGGUUGAAACUCAAAGGAAUUGACGGGGGCCCGCACAAGCAGUGGAGUAUGUGGUUUAAUUCGAAGCAACGCGAAGAACCUUACCAGGGCUUGACAUAUAGAUGAAUAUAUAAGAGAUUAUAUAGCUCUUCGGAGCAUCUAUACAGGUGGUGCAUGGUUGUCGUCAGCUCGUGUCGUGAGAUGUUGGGUUAAGUCC
rnacentral:rRNA from 1 species